rnacentral:lncRNA from 1 species
GAGCAUUCAUAAAAUAAUCCACUUGCCAAAAUAGUAACAGAUAACAAAAUUAACGCAUAUAACAAAACCUCAAAUUUAAUAAAUACAUGUUGCGAAUGUAAGCAACAUAACUGCCAAAGUCUAAAUUGAUUUAUGGCAUACCGAGUGGUACUCUGCAUGUCCUUUUCCCCAACCAUGAUAGCUUAGACACACCUUGCAUGUUGGGUUAAAACUCAUGGUGACCCAAACCCUCAAGUUGUACAUGUGUUGGUUUGGUUCAAUUAUUAAGUUAUGUUUUUUACUUUCAAUGCUAUACAGGAAAGGUAUAGCAUCACAAUUGCUAUUGGUGGAUGAAGUAAUUCGUGUCGGGCGUCCUGUAAGGGCCCCAAACCUCAAUGACAAUAUUCAGGAAGGGAAGAGCUAAUGAAUCAAAUGAGGGACUAUAUGCAGAAGCCAACUUAGAUGUUCUUUCUCACCUGAAGUCCCUCUUUUGAAUAGGGUUUGCCAUGAGCUUUAUUUUGAGUUGACAUCUCAACAAUGAGGAUUGUUAUGAAUUGUUUGCUUACUUUGAAAAUGAAGCAUUUAUAUUUUGUUUUCUUUUCUUUUUGAAGGACAUAUUAGUAUGAUGUCUAUCAUGACCGAAUUUUGGGCUGCUUUACAAGUUUUUUAAGCAUAAUUUGUUAUAGAUGUUGGAAAUGUGGUUCAUCUUCGAAAGUUUAUUUGUUUUAGUUCAUGAGGAGCAGGUGUAACUUUCACCUGUAAUGUAUGACUCGUGUGAUUUUAGUGGAUACAUUUUUACCAGCAUCAAUCUGGAAAUUAAAAUGAUAUUAUAUCAUGCAAGUAGAAAAACCGUAGUUUAAU